rnacentral:rRNA from 1 species
ACGCUGGCGGCGUGCUUAACACAUGCAAGUCGAACGAUGAAGCCUAGCUUGCUAGGUGGAUUAGUGGCGAACGGGUGAGUAAUACGUGAGUAACCUACCUUUAACUCUGGGAUAAGCCUGGGAAACUGGGACUAAUACCGGAUACGACCAAUCUCCGCAUGGGGUGUUGGUGGAAAGCGUUAUGUAGUGGUUAUAGAUGGGCUCACGGCCUAUCAGCUUGUUGGUGAGGUAACGGCUCACCAAGGCGACGACGGGUAGCCGGCCUGAGAGGGUGACCGGCCACACUGGGACUGAGACACGGCCCAGACUCCUACGGGAGGCAGCAGUGGGGAAUAUUGCACAAUGGGCGCAAGCCUGAUGCAGCGACGCCGCGUGAGGGAUGACGGCCUUCGGGUUGUAAACCUCUGUUAGCAGGGAAGAAGAGAAAUUGACGGUACCUGCAGAGAAAGCGCCGGCUAACUACGUGCCAGCAGCCGCGGUAAUACGUAGGGCGCGAGCGUUGUCCGGAAUUAUUGGGCGUAAAGAGCUUGUAGGCGGUUUGUCGCGUCUGCUGUGAAAGGCCGGGGCUUAACCCCGUGUAUUGCAGUGGGUACGGGCAGACUAGAGUGCAGUAGGGGAGACUGGAAUUCCUGGUGUAGCGGUGGAAUGCGCAGAUAUCAGGAGGAACACCGAUGGCGAAGGCAGGUCUCUGGGCUGUAACUGACGCUGAGAAGCGAAAGCAUGGGGAGCGAACAGGAUUAGAUACCCUGGUAGUCCAUGCCGUAAACGUUGGGCACUAGGUGUGGGGGACAUUCCACGUUUUCCGCGCCGUAGCUAACGCAUUAAGUGCCCCGCCUGGGGAGUACGGCCGCAAGGCUAAAACUCAAAGAAAUUGACGGGGGCCCGCACAAGCGGCGGAGCAUGCGGAUUAA